UCGACACAGUAUCGAUGGCGACGUCACUAACACUGACGUGUGGAAGCAGUCUGAUUCAUUAACGAGUCAGCCCGGCAUAAGCCGCGAACGGGUGAAAUCCCCGGGGUGCUUCGCAAGAACUCAACUUAUUCGCCACCCCGAUGCACAGAUACUUGUCG
rnacentral:ncRNA from 1 species